rnacentral:rRNA from 1 species
GACGAACGCUGGCGGCGCGCCUAACACAUGCAAGUCGAACGAGCGAGAGAGAGCUUGCUUUCUCAAGCGAGUGGCGAACGGGUGAGUAACGCGUGAGGAACCUGCCUCAAAGAGGGGGACAACAGUUGGAAACGACUGCUAAUACCGCAUAAGCCCACAGGUCGGCAUCGACCAGAGGGAAAAGGAGCAAUCCGCUUUGAGAUGGCCUCGCGUCCGAUUAGCUAGUUGGUGAGGUAACGGCCCACCAAGGCAACGAUCGGUAGCCGGACUGAGAGGUUGAACGGCCACAUUGGGACUGAGACACGGCCCAGACUCCUACGGGAGGCAGCAGUGGGGAAUAUUGCACAAUGGGGGAAACCCUGAUGCAGCGACGCCGCGUGGAGGAAGAAGGUCUUCGGAAUGUAAACUCCUGUUGUUGAGGAAGAUAAUGACGGUACUCAACAAGGAAGUGACGGCUAACUACGU